rnacentral:lncRNA from 1 species
ACGGUUCAGAAUCCUUAAGAGAAAAUGCACAAAAGUGUAAUAAUCAUUAUACAAUUAUAGGGACAAAAAUCCAUCCUCCUCGUACAACCCAAGCCUGUAACACCAUCAUAUCUCCGCCGUUCGCUGCUGGCCGUAAACCGCCUCCGCUAGCGGCGAAGCUCCAAAUCACUCCAAAUUUACAUCCCAUGCUCCUCUCUUCCUCCUCUUUCUAUAUCCAUGUCCAGUUUCUCACGAAUCCCAUCCAAUCGCCUCAAAUAUCGAAUCUAAACUUUCCCGGCCAUGACAACACCUCGUCCAAAUGACACCAAAUUCACACCAAGUGUUCACCUCCCUCCCCACGUCACGAAUCCACACUCCUUUUACUUUGAAUCACCCUACAUCCGUUCGAAUUUUGAAUCAAACUCGGACUCCAAAACCCUAGCUGCAUGAGUCAUGGGUUUUUCAGAGGGCUUGAUCAUAUAGCAUUUAGUUGUGUAUUUUCUCAUGAAAAUAUAUGAUUAAAUGCUCAUUUGGUCACGGGUUUAUCAGAUUUUUUGCCCAGCUGAAGUCUCAGAACUUGUAAACUUCCCCGGUUAUUUUUCUGUUAUUUUUAUUAUCUGUUCCUUAGUAUUUUCUUAUUAAGUUUUCUGCUGCCGAGUCUGAUUUUUGUUCUUAUCCAAGUUUCGAUUUUGAAUUCAGUGAUUCAAUGGGGGAUAAUUUGUUAUUUGAAUGAUGGUUGAUAGAUUCGAACUGUUAAGACUAAUAUAUGUUAGUGUUUGAAGGGUUCGAUUUUGCAAAGGUACUGUUUGACUGAUGCCAGGUUGAUUGGAUUUGAUUUUCUUUCUGUUUCUCAUAAAUAAUGGCUAAUCCAGAUAGUCCAUUUUGUGUUUGCGUUAGAUGUUUAAUGAUGUAAUGAGGUUACAGUUACAUUAUAGAAUUGAAGCUAAUUUUGACUUUUAUUUGGUGAUUUCCAUUCUUCUAGUGCAAUACUUGGAUCCUGAAAUUCCAGGUGUUCAUUAGUUCGAUUUCGAGCAAUUUUGGGUAUGUCUGAACUGGUUUUGGAUAAAUUUUGGUUGCUGAAGUUCAGAGGUUCAUUUCGAGUGAUUUUGAGUCAAAUUAAGUUGGUUUUCUUGUUGAAAUUUUGCACUGUUGAAAUUUCAGAAGUGUUCCUAGUUGAUUUCGAAUAGUUUUUAGGUUCAAUCAUUUUGUUUUGGGUGUUUGUUGCUGCUGUUGGGUUACAAUUCAUUCCCGGAUGAGUUUGAAUGUGUUUGAGACAUUGAGUUAUUCUAGUUGGUUUCAAGUUAAAAGUGACUUGUUCAAAAUCUGUUAUGGGCCAUAUUACUGAUAUUUUUGAUCUGCUGUUUCUCACUGCUGCUGAUUUCCCCUUUCUUCUACUCCUUUUCAAUUCCAGGUACACUACGAGACUUGGUUGAUGUGGCAUCUGUAGUUGAAAACAUGAAAUGAAAUAGAAGCCCCAAAAUUCUGAUAUUGCCUUGUUAUUCUGCAUGUUUAGAUGAUUUUUGUGAUUUGGUCAGUAGUAUAUUGUUGCUCCUGUAGGCAUAAAUGGAAUUGAAAAACUGGACCAUAUAGGUCGUAGUUUGAACCAUUUCGGAUUGUUUUAAUUCAUGGUUACUUAGCCGUGUAUAAUUAACACAUUUAAGUUUAGCAUUUUCCUAUUAAAAUUUGACAAUUAGAAGCAGUUUGGAAGUUCAUAUCCAGUUUGAUUUUGAGCUGAACAUGUAUCCCAAAGCAAUAUUUCGUACUGAACUAGUUAAUACCAACAGAUUAGUAAUUAAUACUAGUAAUUUUCUUAAAACGACUGUGUACCAUCAGCUCGUUAGUUAAACUGGUUGACUGUGCGUAACUGUAUGUAAAUGAGUUGUUAAUUUGAACAAGUAUACGUUGGUGUAUUUCAUUUCUAUUUGGUAAACACUUAACUUUGAUGUAAAAAUAAUUGUUGGCUUGCCUUCCCAGAGAUUCGAUCCUUCGAUCUCUUAGGCCUGGCCUAUUUCCACUUUGGGCCACUGAAAUUACAUGGCUGGCAUGCACGCGUUGUAUGGCUUCGGCUCUUUUGGGCCCAAGGCUGAUAUGGAAAUUGGCGUUCAUAUU